GAGCAACCUGCCCCUGACUCUGGGAUAAGCGCUGGAAACGGCGUCUAAUACUGGAUAUGAGCUGCGAUCGCAUGGUCAGCAGUUGGAAAGAUUUUUCGGUCUGGGAUGGGCUCACGGCCUAUCAGCUUGUUGGUGAGGUAAUGGCUCACCAAGGCGUCGACGGGUAGCCGGCCUGAGAGGGUGACCGGCCACACUGGGACUGAGACACGGCCCAGACUCCUACGGGAGGCAGCAGUGGGGAAUAUUGCACAAUGGGCGAAAGCCUGAUGCAGCAACGCCGCGUGAGGGAUGACGGCCUUCGGGUUGUAAACCUCUUUUAGCAGGGAAGAAGCGAAAGUGACGGUACCUGCAGAAAAAGCGCCGGCUAACUACGUGCCAGCAGCCGCGGUAAUACGUAGGGCGCAAGCGUUAUCCGGAAUUAUUGGGCGUAAAGAGCUCGUAGGCGGUUUGUCGCGUCUGCUGUGAAAUCCCGAGGCUCAACCUCGGGUCUGCAGUGGGUACGGGCAGACUAGAGUGCGGUAGGGGAGAUUGGAAUUCCUGGU
rnacentral:rRNA from 1 species